rnacentral:lncRNA from 1 species
CUUAUUUAGUCAUUCUACAAUAGAUGGACAUCCUCUCAAUUUCCAGUUCUUUGCCACCACAAAGAAAGCUGCUAUGAAUAUUUUAGAUCAUAAAUAAAGACCCCCUUUUCUUCAUUGGAUGUAAAAUCUAAAGACCAGAAAGUCAUUCCCUAAGGAAGGGGCUUGAGCCAGGACAGCACUGAAAAAGCUCAGAGAAGGCCGGAAUGACAUGGGAAAGGACCAAAGAAAGACAGUCACCAUUCCAUGACCCCCACAGCAUGCAUAUUUAUUGCAAUCCUAACUAGGAAUCUAAUGGGAAGGCCCGAGAAAAAGAAGUUUUUGAAAAAGAUAAAAAGUUAAACUGGGAAGGAUACCGUAUGCCAUUGGUAGGAUAGAGAAACCAGGGACACUUGAAAGGUGGUCAGGGUCCAUCAAAAGCUAGAAAGUAGAACAGGGAAUUUAAACCAAGUUUGCAUGUGUGUGUUUUGUCUUUAUCGUUAUUCUAUUUGCUCUACUCUCUUAAAAAGGCUACAUAAUUAUUUUUGGAGGGGUCCCUAUUCUUGGAGGAGGACAGGGAUAGGAUAGUCCAAUGUUGCCAUUGUGGAUUUGAGAUCCCUGAAAUAGAAGAUCCAGCUUUAAAUCAAAGCAGUACCCUUCAUUAAAUAGCUUUCAGCCAAAUAGGACAGAAAGGACAGGUCAAAAUUAAUUUCAUGUUCAUUCAUUGUUGUUUAGUCAUUUCAGUCGUGCCUAACUCUUUGUGACCUGAUUGGAGGUUUUCUUGGCAAAGACAUUGGAGUGGUUUGCCAUUUCCUUUUCCGGCUCAUUUUAAAGAUGAGGAACUGAGAUCUCAGGAAACAGGAGGACGCCACUGCCCUUCUUUAAUUUUUAGAAGCUCUGGAGGGUUUAGCCCCAGCCUUGAACACUUCUGUCCCUAUCAACUUGGAUGCCACUUGUUCAACAGUCUACAGUCUACCUGUGUGGAUCUUCCUCAGAGAAUCUUCCUAAUGUAUUGGAAGACAUUCUGUCACAGUCUGGAAAAACCCUAUUAACUUCUGAGAUGUGCCCAGGAUAAAUCCCAGAACUUAAAUGACAUGCACAGCUAAUAAGUUAUCAGAGGUGGGAUUUGAACUCAGAUAUUUUGCAUAGAUUUUAAAAAAUGAUAUUGGGUAUUGAGAGAAUCAAAUUCAAUGAAUGCCUUCAAUUAGAUUUCCAGC